GGGGUAGGUGCCCUGGCAGUUAUAGCAGUGGUGCUGUGUUCUGCCUCAGUGAGGCUGCAAUCUGCUGUCCUUUCAAUGCCCAGAGCACAGAAGAACUGUCUUGGGGAUUUUCUAGGAACGUGGAAAAUGUAUAUGCGCUGGAACCGCUUUUAGAAAGAUUCUCAGAGCUGUCCUGUGCUUUGCCUCUGGGAAACAGAAGUGAACAAGAGUAAUAGAAAUUAACAGCUGAUAAACCAAAUGUCAUAAAAACAUUGGCCCUUCUCCUGGUGCUUUAUUAAAAAUUGAAACUUUUGCUCAUCCGGAGUUAUGUGAAAAACCUCAUAGCCCCAGUGGGACAUUGUGUGGAUCCAGGCAGUGCUGCUGCAGGGAGGGUGCUGGGAUCUGCCAAGUGGGACAGCAGCAAUGCCAAGGAGGGGAUUGAUCUCUAGCCACACCGGAUACAGCUCUGGGGAACUCAGGGAAAUUCACCAAGACUCUCCUAAAGCAAGGAAGAGCAUGAAAAUGUGACUGAUUUUGUCCUUUGAGAGGUUAUCACUGAGAACAAGUGUCCCAGGGAAAGAAGCUGGCGCAUGCUCCAGACAAGGCGAGGCAGCAAGCGUGCCAGGC